GGGCGCGCGCGGGGCGGGGUGUGUGUGCGCUGCGUGCGCGGCUCCUACCGGCAGUUUCCGGGACCAGCAGGAGCUGCGGGAGCCGCUGCGGUGCCAAAAGGAGCCGGGAAGGACUCUUGGAAAGGCCGCCCCGCCCCGCUCCCCGCCGCUCCCCGUAACGAGCGCCUCGCCUCCGCUGCGAGUCCUGUUGAUCUCGAAGGAUAAAAUGAAUAGAAGGCAGGGAUUCUGGAUUAUUCAGGGCUUGUGAAUUACCUCAACUUCAUAGCAAGCCCUGUAGGAAAACUGUCCAGGCACCUGCAUUUCCAGUUGCUACCAAAGUGAAUGGGGAAUACACCAACAACAUGGACAAGAUGCUCUACAUGCUGGUGGUCAACACUUCCCAGAUGACCAAAUACAUGAAGCGUGUUGCUCACGGUUACGAGAAAGAAGUCAAAGAUCACAAAUUAAGCAAAAAGAGCAGAGCAGAUGAAUUUGAUGAAGACAAGAUAGAGCUUAUGAAUUCAUAUAUAAUAAUAGUAUUUGGAGUAGAAGUAGAACU